rnacentral:lncRNA from 1 species
GAUGAAGAGUGUGAAGCAUGUCCACUCAAUGUAAACGGUGAGACAACAGAAAUCAUUAAAAUGUAUUGAAAAUAUGACUACGGAUGACAUAGGCAGUAUAGUGAAGUUUCUUAUUUUGCAUCAGAACAAGUGUGCUGUUGUUCAUUUUUUUAAAAGAAAAUUGAUAAAUAUUACCACAAUUAAUAGAUACCUGGAUGACUAAGAGAAGGGUCAAAUGAAGGAAUCCGUGAUAAAUAUUUCAAUCCUGUUAUCUUCUCUGCUUUGCACUUCCCAGAAUGGACACACCUGGGCUGGCAGAACAUCUUUCCUUGAUCUGGAGCCCCAUGUCUGCCCCUCUGUAGAGGUGCACAUGGGCCAAUGAUGGAUGCAAUGAGCUGAUCAUUUUGCUGUGAUCAAGGCUAUGUUGCCUCUGUGUUAGGCCAAUUGUUGAUGUUCAUGGGUGAUUGAUCAUCCUGUAGUGACGGUGGUAUUGACUGUUCCCCAAAGGACAAGGAGUGUGUUCUUACAAUGGACAUCAUGAUUGGGAUUGUCUUUAUUAAACUUUGUCAGGAGAGUAAAGAUGAAUGUGGCCGCGUGUUGUGGCUCAUGCCUGUAAUCCCAGCACUUUGGGAGGCCGAGGUGGGCGGAUCACCUGAAGUCGGGAGUUCGAGACCAGCCUGACCAACAUGGAGAAACCCCGUCUCUACUAAAAAUACAAAAUUAGCUGGGCAUGGUGGUGCAUGCCUGUAAUUCCAGCUACUCAGGAGGCUGAGGCAGGAGAAACGCUUGAACCCGAGAGGCGGAGGUUGCAGUGAGCUGAGAUUGUGCCGUUGCACUCCAGGCUGGGCAACAAGAGUGAAACUGCAUCUCAAAAG